rnacentral:rRNA from 1 species
UAAUACGAAGGACCCGAGCGUUAUCCGGAUUUACUGGGUUUAAAGGGUGCGUAGGUGGACCUGUAAGUCAGUGGUGAAAGCCCGAAGCUCAACUUCGGAACUGCCAUUGAUACUGCUGGUCUUGAGUACAAUUGAGGUAGGCGGAAUAUGUCAUGUAGUGGUGAAAUACUUAGAUAUGACAUAGAACACCGAUUGCGAAGGCAGCUUGCUAAGUUGUAACUGACACUGAUGCACGAAAGCGUGGGGAGCAAACAGGAUUAGAUACCCUGGUAGUCCACGCCCUAAACGAUGAUAACUCGAUGUUGGCGAUACACUGUCAGCGUCCAAGCGAAAGCAUUAAGUUAUCCACCUGGGGAGUACGACCGCAAGGUUG